GAUGUUGGGUUAAGUCCCGCAACGAGCGCAAUCCUUAUCCUUAGUUGCCAGCACGUCUGGGUGGGCACUCUAAGGAAACUGCCGGUGCUAAGCCGGAGGAAGGUGGGGAUGACGUCAAGUCCUCAUGGCCCUUACACCCUGGGCUACACACGUGCUACAAUGGCAGUGACAAUGGGCUAAUCCCAAAAAGCUGUCUCAGUUCGGAUUGGGGUCUGCAACUCGACCCCAUGAAGUUGGAAUCGCUAGUAAUCGCGGAUCAGCAUGCCGCGGUGAAUACGUUCCCAGGCCUUGUACACACCGCCCGUCACACCAUGGGAGUUGGAUCAACCCGAAGCUGGUGCGCUAACUCGCAAGAGAGGCAGCCAACCACGGUGGGUUCAGCGACUGGGGUGAAGUCGUAACAAGGUAGCCGUAGGAGAACCUGCGGCUGGAUCACCUCCUU
rnacentral:rRNA from 1 species